AUGGAUGGUGCUUUCUGCUGGUGUUGGAGGGAAGCAGAACAAAACGUGGGUUCUCCAUGCUCGCAAGGUAACCUAUGUACUGCUGUACUGACCUCUCACUCCAGGAUGGUUGGCAGCUGUGCCGCCCUGUGUUUGUGGGUGUCUGGCACAAAGGAACUUGAAGACUUGCUCCAGAAUUCAUCAGGAUCUCAAGCACCAAUUAAACAUAGCCAACCAAACUCAUCAGUGCACAUCCAAGUAACUGUCAAUAAACUGUUUUCUCUCUGAGAUGAGUACAUGCACACAUUUUCCUGGGAUCUCUCUACAAAGGCAUCACUUGUCCUGCAGUCCAUUCCUUAAUGCAGGUGAGCUCACACCUUCCAGGAAUCAGCCACAGCCCUGGUGGCAACAGCAAUACACACCCUGGACUAUAAAUACUUGUUAAAAUUUAAAUAAUGUUUCUUAUGACCCUUAAAUACAAAUAAAUAUGUCUGAGCCUAGUUUAGCUGGAAGAUG
rnacentral:lncRNA from 1 species